AGGUUUAGAUGAAUGGAAAAUGAACUUGCCAGUUCACAGCUAUGUCCUUCCCAAUUUAGGAGGUUAAGGGCAGGAAAAACAUGAGAAACUCUUUUGAGAAGCUGCACAAGCUGACAUGGAGGAUCAAGGAUUUCAAAAGCUUUGAAUAUAAAGAGGUGUCAGACUUACAUCAGAGCCUGAGACUUGACAUGCCUAUUUUUGCACUCGCUCAUUUUUCAAAUUUCAUAGGCAUUGCUCCCUCCAAAUCACCGCUCUUCUAAUUUUAUCCUGGAGUGUGCAUCCCAGAAGACAUAAGCUGACACAAUUGGGAACUGAAGUUGCUUGAAAAAGCUGGUGGUAAGAUUAGACUCUAGACAGCUUAUACGUAUUUGGACAAGGCAACGUGAUGAAGAAAUAAUAUAAUUGUAGGAUCACCUCUGUCCAGUAGCUGUUAUCCAACAUCUGCAUACUUAGAUUUCUGGAGAGCCCUAUGCCUUCACAAGAACAAGUUCCCACACCAGGGUCAAGAAGGAAACCGUAAGUCAAGACAAAAGUGCCCAGUGAAGGCAGAAGAUGAGGGGUCUCAGGUUGCAUCUUCGGAGGCACGAGGAUUCAAAGGUGAACAAAGCACACAGUACAUCAUUUGAUGUGGAGAUGGAAGCAUCAAAAAAUUAAUUGAAUAAUAAAUAUCACCAUAGGGAAACAACAUUAUUUGAAUAUCACCAUCCUUCUGGCUUGAAUCCCAGAAUGAAGGAAACUGAUGGAUUUUCAGAAAGGUUCUAGAGGCCACCAGCAUGUCUCAGCUUGUGUCUCCACAUCCCUCCAAAUUCUACUUCUUCUCAUUACAUCUUUUUUUGACUCUGAUCCUCUGACUCCAUCCUAUAAGGACCUUGUGAUCACAUGCAGGGUAACCUCUCCAUCUAAAGAUCCUCAACUCAUCACAUCCACAAAGUUCCAUAUACAAUGUAAAGUAAUAUCAGUAUCAGAUAUUAACAGGUAGAAAUCGUUUUGGAGGAGAUCCCACAGCCAGUUUUUAAUUUGGGCAUUGGGUGUUGGCAGAGGAACCAAGUGUAAAUUAUACCCCACCUGUUUAAAUUCUCAUAGAUUGGUGGGAUAAUAAUUAUCCUGUACAUCGAUUUACUGUACUUCUACUAACAAGAUGCUUCACCUGUCUGUUUGAAUAUCUGUAGGAAUAUGCCUCAUUUUUCAUCUUGAAUCAGUGUCCAUGAUCUUUCCCAAAUUUGACCUCCUUUAACAUGUUGUCCAACUGUUUGCUGAGUUUGUGUAAUCUAUUUUUAAAUCUAUAUUAUGUGUUCAAAUUUCUUGACACUUUUUAAAUAUCAUCCCUUCUAAUUAGCCAAUAAAAUCAACGUUUUUUCCCUCAA
rnacentral:lncRNA from 1 species